AGUGCAGUGAGUUGCUUGCAAGUCACCGUGACGGUCUCAGGUAGGAGGGACAUUUAUACCCAUAUUCCAUCGGAGCAAAUCUUGAUAGCAGAAAUAGCUCCGGAGUCGGUCACGUUCAGUGCAGAUGUACCCUUACAUCUCACCUGUAUGCCAUACCAGUGUCUCCAUACUCAUUAGUUAAGAGGAUAACUAACCUAUAUGGCACACAACGACCUGUGCUUGAUAGACGUUGUUGUCCUUGGUAACAACGUAUCAUUUGGUCGCGAACAGAUUUAAGGACUAAACGAUAAAUUCUUCUUUGUCGAGUCUAAAUAGUCCUAAGGACUUCACCACAACAUAGGAGUUCAUUAGAAGAUGAGACAUUUUGUGAUGAAAAAUAUCAAAAUAAUUUUUAUUAAUUUAUGAUUUAUGUUCUAAUACAACAAAGAGCACAACCGUCAACAGGC
rnacentral:lncRNA from 1 species